rnacentral:rRNA from 1 species
ACGGGAGGCAGCAGUGGGGAAUAUUGGGCAAUGGGCGAAAGCCUGACCCAGCAACGCCGCGUGAGGGAAGACGGUUUUCGGAUUGUAAACCUCUGUUCUUGGUGACGAAGAAGUGACGGUAGCCAAGGAGAAAGCCACGGCUAACUACGUGCCAGCAGCCGCGGUAAUACGUAGGUGGCAAGCGUUAUCCGGAACUACGGGGUGUAAAGGGAGCGCAGGCGGGACAGCAAGUCAGCGGGGAAAUGUAUGGGCUCAACCCAUGAACUGCCGUUGAAACUGUUGUUCUUGAGUGGAGUAGAGGUAGGCGGAAUUCCGAGUGUAGCGGUGAAAUGCGUAGAUAUUCGGAGGAACACCAGUGGCGAAGGCGGCCUACUGGGCUCUAACUGACGCUGAGGCUCGAAAGUGUGGGGAGCAAACAGGAUUAGAUACCCUGGUA